UUUUUCUUUUCCUGAUUUUCAUAGACUUUUUAAAAUCAAACAUUUGCAAUAUUGUGAUUUUUCUGUGAUUCACUGCUUCGGUUUAAUGGAUCAGAGCUCUUUAUUAGAGAGUUUUCUGAAAUCGCUCUGGAGAAAGUGAAUGUGACCCAGGACUUCUGAAAAGUGGGCGUCGCCGCUGCGCUCUAUUAACUCAAAUGGACUUCAGCCAGCUGAAAUUAACAUAUUCCAGUGGCUGUGAUUUGUUUGGUGGAUCUGUCUCACCUUGAUCUCAUUCCUGAAGGAAGAGAGCUUUGUCUGUCAGUGAGGACAUGAAGACUCGACUGGAUGUGGGAGGAAAAUGAAAACAUUCCAGUGACCCUGAGGGAGGACAACCAGUGACAACAGGUUCAGAAAAACAAAAG
ensembl:lncRNA